rnacentral:rRNA from 1 species
GGACGAACGCUGGCGGCGUGCUUACCACAUGCAAGUCGAACGGAAAGGCCCUGCUUUUGUGGGGUGCUCGAGUGGCGAACGGGUGAGUAACACGUGAGUAACCUGCCCUUGACUUUGGGAUAACUUCAGGAAACUGGGGCUAAUACCGGAUAGGAGCUCCUGCUGCAUGGUGGGGGUUGGAAAGUUUCGGCGGUUGGGGAUGGACUCGCGGCUUAUCAGCUUGUUGGUGGGGUAGUGGCUUACCAAGGCUUUGACGGGUAGCCGGCCUGAGAGGGUGACCGGCCACAUUGGGACUGAGAUACGGCCCAGACUCCUACGGGAGGCAGCAGUGGGGAAUAUUGCACAAUGGGCGGAAGCCUGAUGCAGCAAUGCCGCGUGCGGGAUGACGGCCUUCGGGUUGUAAACCGCUUUCGCCUGUGACGAAGCGUGAGUGACGGUAAUGGGUAAAGAAGCACCGGCUAACUACGUG